rnacentral:rRNA from 1 species
UACGAAGGGGGCUAGCGUUGCUCGGAAUCACUGGGCGUAAAGGGUGCGUAGGUGGGUUGGUAAGUCAGUGGUGAAAUACUUUCGCUUAACGAAGGAACUGCCAUUGAUACUAUCAAUCUUGAAUGUAGUGGAGGUAGGCGGAAUGCGUCAUGUAGCGGUGAAAUGCUUAGAUAUGACGCAGAACACCAAUUGCGAAGGCAGCUUGCUACACUACUAUUGACACUGAGGCACGAAAGCGUGGGGAUCAAACAGG